GUCUUCCCUCUCUCUCUCUCAUAACGCCUGAUCCCUCUCCUCGACCUCGCCGCCGCCGCUCAGCGGUCGUUUUAUCGUUCCCCUCCCCUUCCUUCUGCCUCUCUUACCAGCAGUGGCGACAGCGCGGCACUGGCGGCCAGCCCUCCAGCGAUCUGGCCUUCUUCCGGCACGUAGGCGCCGUCAUCACCGAUCGGGGCCUCCAGCCCGGCCGGCGACGGCAACGCGAUACUGGAGGUCGACGACGCCGGCAACGGCAACGUGAUACUGUGCAUUGUGUUACAACUGAGUGUCUCAACAACCUGAAUGCGAUGUGGACUGCACAUUCUUUGUUCUCGCUGUGGUGAAUUGAGGGCUCUGCUUUCUUGGGGUGGGAGACGAUAGCAGGGUUUUGUGCUCCUUCUCUUGAGCCUUUUUACUCCAUCUACCACGUCAAUGCUCACAACCUGCUCUUGCUUGGUGGUGAAUUCCAGGGUCAUGAAUGAGCACAUAUGCGGACAUCUAUUUUAUGCAAUGCAAUUGACGCUUUUGGUCAGCCAGCUGGAGGGUCGUGGUGUGCAAAGAAAACUCCAAGGAGAUCACAUCCACCUGCUUGUGGUUGCUUGCGGUUGUCUCUCUCAUCUGCUUUGUUAAGACCCAGGUCCAGUCCUCUCUUCUCUGGUGCAUCAUCUCGUCAGGGCUCUGCAUCCUGCAAACGGGUAGCCGUGAGCUCUGCUCAAGUAACACCUAUUGCUCACUCCACAAUCUAAUAGUCAACAUUUUGCAAGCUUCUGAAGGUGAGGAAUGAACUGCCAGGGAAGAUGCAAGAAUAUAGCUCUUCUCUCUCAGCUCCCGCUCCUGGUUUUAUUUUACGUAAUACGAUUAGCAUUAGCAUGGCCGCAUGGGCGACCGGCAAAGUUUGGUAAGUAGGAGUAGUUCGUUAUAGUUUAUGCAGCCUCGUCAUGGCGCUCAAAGUGGAAAGCGUAUUGUGGUAUGGCUAAGUAAAGGUCCCAGUUCUAGUUUAGUCCUGUUUUAGCCUCCGCUCUGGCGCUCAAAGUGGACUGAAUGGUAUGGGUCAGGGAAAAGGUCCUUUCUUCAGUUUUAGUUUAAUUAGUCUUGUUUGCUUUGGUUAGUUUUUUGCCUGCUCUUUGCUUUGUGUACUCUGCUCCUUUUCAAGGGCUCUUGGCCGAACUUCUAUUACUAAGAAGACACAUUUACGUUCCUGCCCUUUAUUGCCGCCACUUCGACUGUUCUUUGUUAUGUGUCAGGUAUCUCAAGUUGAGUUGAUGAGUAGUCCCUCCUGGUAAUCAAAAUCUUUGCCUGGCUCGCGUUGCACAAUCGCCCAUGGACGGCUUAUAGACUUGCCAACCGUAACUUGCAACAUCCCCCGGAGCGUUUGCUCUGCUGCCAAGAGGAGGAGUCUGCGAGCCAUCUUCUUCUUGGUUGCCCCUUUGCUCGUCAGGUCUGGUUCUCUGUGUUGUUGGCAUGGAGACUGCACAGCUUCACCCCGCGUGCUGAUGAUGAAAGUGAAACCAAGAACUGGUGGCCUCGGCUCAGCUCGGCGGUCACGGGGGAUCGGAGGAAAGAGCAGCUCAACUCCUUGGUUUGCCGCACCUUGAGGAUGAUAUGGCUGGAGAGGAACGACCGCGUCUUUGAAAAGAAUCGCGGCCGUGGAAUCGGUUGUGAUACUCAGAAUUAGGACUGAAUUUGCCCUUUGGUUGCUAGCUAGGACCAGUGGAUCGGCGGAUGCUCGCCAAAGGCGUUGCACGUUAUGUACAGAGCUCUACUGGAGUUUGUAUUGUUUUCUCCCCCUAUCUUAA